GGCUUAACACAUGCAAGUCGAGGGGCAGCAUGAACUUAGCUUGCUAAGUUUGAUGGCGACCGGCGCACGGGUGAGUAACGCGUAUCCAACCUACCCCUUAGUAGGGCAUAGCCCGUAGAAAUGCGGAUUAAUACCCUAUGUUUUCCGGAGACGGCAUCAGAACUGGAACAAAGAUUGAUCGCUAAGGGAUGGGGAUGCGUACGAUUAGGUUGUUGGCGGGGUAACGGCCCACCAAGCCUGCGAUCGUUAGGGGUUCUGAGAGGAAGGUCCCCCACACUGGUACUGAGACACGGACCAGACUCCUACGGGAGGCAGCAGUGAGGAAUAUUGGUCAAUGGGCGUGAGCCUGAACCAGCCAAGUAGCGUGCAGGACGACGGCCCUACGGGUUGUAAACUGCUUUUAUCAGGGGAUAAAGUGCGGGACGUGUCCCUCAUUGCAGGUACCUGAUGAAUAAGGACCGGCUAAUUCCGUGCCAGCAGCCGCGGUAAUACGGAAGGUCCGGGCGUUAUCCGGAUUUAUUGGGUUUAAAGGGAGCGCAGGCGGGUGCUUAAGCGUGCUGUGAAAUGUACCGGCUCAACCGGUGACGUGCAGCGCGAACUGGGUGCCUUGAGUGAGUGCGAGGUAUGCGGAAUUCGUGGUGUAGCGGUGAAAUGCUUAGAUAUCACGAAGAACCCCGAUUGCGAAGGCAGCGUACCAGUCCUUUACUGACGCUAAAGCUCGAAGGUGCGGGUAUCGAACAGGAUUAGAUACCCUGGUAGUCCGCACGGUAAACGAUGGAUGCCCGCUGUCGGCGAUAGAAUGUCGGCGGCCAAGCGAAAGCGUUAAGCAUCCCACCUGGGGAGUACGCCGGCAACGGUGAAACUCAAAGGAAUUGACGGGGGCCCGCACAAGCGGGAGGAACAUGUGGGUUAAUUCGAUGAUACGCGAGGAACCUUUACCCGGGCUUGACUGCAGCCGUACGAUUCAGAGAUGAUGAAGUCCUCCGGACGGCUGUGGAGUGCUGCAUGGUUGUCGUCAACUCGUGCCAUGAGGGCGGCUUAGUGGCAUAACGAGCGC
rnacentral:rRNA from 1 species